AAUUGUUCUUCCAUAUAAUCAUAGAUCCUAAUUAUGCUGUAAAAUUUUUCUAAUAGCGCCAACUGGAGCAUUGUUAAUAACAUCCUCCUCAAUCCCACAAGUGCAUCUUCCAUUCACACAAAAGGGAAUAGCAUCGCGACAUUGAAACCAACAAUCCUUCCAUGAUUUGCACGGUCCAUCUGAACCUUCUACACUCUGCAAGCCUAUAAAAAAAAUAAGAAUUAGUAUUUUAUAAUAAAGCUUUAUAAUAUUUUUGUUUGAAUAUGGUAAAAUAAUAGUACUAACUCAUGUAAAAUAAAAUAAUACUAGACAAUAGUAUAAUUUAUUGUCAUACCAACAAGGGUUGUGACUUGUGGUAGAGUGGUAAGUACUCAUUCAUUCUUAAUAAGAAGUUUUAAAUUCGAGUCCCUUGUUAUGGAGUUGCCUGUAUAAGGAAGCGCUUUACCUCUAAUGUGGGCUUCCCGGCGUGAAUCCGAAUUUAUUUGGGCCUUAAUGUGGGUACUGACACCGAGUGGAAACCAAAUUUUUUAUAGGCAUACAAUCAAAUCAUAAUUAAACUAGGAUUUAUUUGAAUGAUAGAGUAAAAGAGAGAGUAAUACCUAUCGUGAUAAGCAUCAGACAAACAAAGGAGAGCAAAGUGAUGGAUUCCUUCUUGAUUGCCAUGUUGAAAUGUGUGUAAUAAAUUUCAUAUGAAU
rnacentral:lncRNA from 1 species